GACGUAGGAUGCGAGCGUUGUCCGGAAUUAUUGGGCGUAAAGCGUACGUAGGCGGUCAUCUAAGUCUGGGGUUAAAGACCAAGGCUCAACCUUGGGAGUGCCCUGGAUACUGGGUGACUGGAGGACGGCAGAGGAAAGUGGAAUUCCCAGUGUAGCGGUGAAAUGCGUAGAUAUUGGGAGGAACACCAGUGGCGAAAGCGACUUUCUGGGCCGUUCCUGACGCUGAGGUACGAAAGCCAGGGGAGCAAAC
rnacentral:rRNA from 1 species